rnacentral:rRNA from 1 species
UGCUGUGGGGGUACCUGCGCGUCCGGGCCUAUUAGGACGUGAGAGCUUGUACUCUAGUACCCCGCGAGGUUCAAAGAGGUGCCGGGUCCUUAGGCAUUCCGCCCCUGCAGCAGGUUUUGUUCUUUUUCUCAUACUGUUUUCAAACAUUACUGGAGCAGGUCCUCUAGGACAGGCUCGGUGGAGAGGCAGAUCGUUGCCCUGCCUGCUCGACCAAAACUUUGAAGAUAUAACUCUAAGCGGUGGAUCACUCGGCUCGUGUGUCGAUGAAGAGCGCAACCAGCUGCGUGAAUUAAUGUGAAUUGCAGGACACAUUGAACAUCAACAUCUUGAACGCAUAUUGCGGCUUCGGGGUUCCCCCCGAGGCCACGCCUGUCUCAGGGUCGGUUUACUAGCAAUCGCAAGGUUCUUGCUUGCGCUCUGGGCUGUCGUAGGGAGCACCUCUCGUGUUUUCUCUCCGUCGCCUCAAGUACAGACCGGUUCCCAUCUCGAGGAACCUCCCUGUCCACGGCUGGCCUGUCAGCUGUCUGGGCGGUGGCUCGGUGCUGAUCUGCCCUGGCCUACUGCUUCCCAGAUGACUGUCAGUCUGCCUAGGACAAUUUUUCCAUUUCGACCUGAGAUCAGACGAGAUUACCCGCUGAAUUUAAGCAUAUCAA